UAGGGAAUAUUGGGCAAUGGAGGGAACUCUGACCCAGCCAUGCCGCGUGCAGGAUGAAGGCGUUAUGCGUUGUAAACUGCUUUUUAUAUAGGAAGAAAUAGUCCUUGCGAGGAAAGUUGACGGUACUAUAUGAAUAAGCACCGGCUAACUCCGUGCCAGCAGCCGCGGUAAUACGGAGGGUGCAAGCGUUGUCCGGAUUUAUUGGGUUUAAAGGGUGCGUAGGCGGUUUAUUAAGUCAGUGGUGAAAGACGGUCGCUCAACGAUUGCAGUGCCAUUGAUACUGGUAGACUUGAGUAUGAUUGAGGUAGCUGGAAUGGAUAGUGUAGCGGUGAAAUGCAUAGAUAUUAUCCAGAACACCAAUUGCGUAGGCAAGUUACUAAGUCAUAACUGACGCUGAGGCACGAAAGUGUGGGUAUCAAACAGGAUUAGAUACCCCUGUAGUCCCUGAGCGGGCUGGCAAGGCGCAU
rnacentral:rRNA from 1 species